AUACCUGAAUAUGGUGUUGACUCUUGAAUCUCAUCAAGCCUCUAACCAUUUAACCUUUGGCUUUCCUGACCCACUUCUCGCAAUUCCAUGUGGGUCUUUAUUAUUCAGCCUUUACCAUUUACCCUUCCUAUUCAUGGACCAUGUGACUCUAACAUCAGAUUAAUAGAAGAGUGCCUCAGUGGCCACUUUGGCACUUAGGUCUCCACGCAUCACUGCUGUUCAAUGGGGGCACUGCUGGCAUUGAGAGAGCAGGUCUGUGGUCCUUGGACUGAAAGAGUUUGAGCAUCCUGGCCUUCCAUCGCUGAGAACCAGCACUGCCAGGGAUUUACAAUAAGCAAAAAUGUCCCCCCAAAUUUCCAAGUGGCUCCUUGUUGAGUCACACUGCUUGAGAUCUGCCUUUAGAUCUUUCAGAAACACACAUUUUCUCCCUAAAUGGGAUUGUUUGUGCCUCUGUCAAUACACUGUUUCUUUUUUGAAGGCUUGUCAUAUUUUAAAGUCAUUCUUCCUUUUAAAGUUUUUUUUUUUUUUUAGCCUUGGAAUGAGUCAUACAUUAUUUUAUUUUGUUUUCUUUUGUUUUACUUAUUAUUAUGGGAAAUGUGGAACACACACAAAUAGCGUAGUAUAAGGAACCCCCAUGGAUCCAUCACCUCGUUUUAACAAUUAUGACCUCAUAGACAUUCCUGUUUUUUUCUAUACAGCCACCUACGAUUCUCCACCUACUCCGCCCGCUGCCAUUAGGUAAUUUUGAAGCAAAUCACAGACAUCAUUCAUGCCAAGAGGGGACAAAAGCUGAAUUAUAAGCCCACACAAUUUAUGGUUCUUCAGGCUUGCCACUUGGAUGUCUACAACCGUGUCAACUCACUACUAAGUCAGCUGCAAAUUACUCGGUUCCCAACCUAAUAUUUGGUGUACAAAUGAGGGCACUGUGCUCUGUAAAGUUGUUCUUGCACAGUUGCGUCUGCCUCAGCUGGGAAAAACGUGUAAGUAUUUGCACAAACCGGUCUGUUAUCUCAGAGAAUCCAGGAUUGUUUCAAAGUGGCUUCAAUUCAGUUUAGUGGGUAAUUAUUGAGCAUCAACUAAGUUCUGGGCCUUUUAGGGAUUUGGUGGCGAAUGUAUUCAUGCAGGCUUCUCAGACUGUGCUCCUAGGGUUAGUAACAUUUGCAGCCCCUGGAAAUUUUUAAGAAAUGCAAUUUCCAGCGCCCCACCCCUUGCUACACAAGUCAGGGAUUCUGGUCCCGUGUCUGCAUUUUAGUAAGUCACGGGGUGACUGAAGCACUACAGUUUAAGAACCACUAAUGUUGUGUUAAUGAGUGACUCUCAAUGCAAUAAAGCUCAAUAAUUGUUAGAUGAAUGGAUGGAUGACAAAACAAACAAUAACAAUAAAAUGAAGGGGCUGUUGCGGAGAUUGGGGCGGCACAAAAUAUUAGCAUACUCGGAAGAAAGCAUCCUCUGUCAGUCUCAGCCUUUCCCUGCUUGCCGGCUGGGGCACACGCCUGUGUUCCCAGCAUGGCCACUGCUUUCUUUUUCUUUGUUCAUUUGUUUAUUGAUGCUUGUUUACUUCCCAUUGUGGGAAGAACAAAACAACAAGAAAAUAAAGACGUGAACAUGAUCAGACAAAACCAGAGGCAUUUGAGAACUGGUGAUGUCCUCACAGCAAGGUUGGUUUUGAUGGAUUCUUUGGGAUAAGAGUGAGGAGCGCUUGGUUUGUUAUUUAUAAAAGGAGCAGAAUUCACUGUUGGUUCCCUCGGCCCUGGUGUGCACCACAGGCACCUCUCUUCUCCCUCAUUCUGGAAGAGGCUGGCAGAGCUUAGCUCAGCUGGCUUAGUGAAGUCGGAACUUGCCUGGGGACACAAAACUUCCUCCACGAAAGGUUUUUUAUUUAUUUUUUUGUUAAAUAAAGGAAACACUUUUGUGUCUUCUAAGCUGCUGCUGGCCUCCAGCCUGGCUCCCUGCAGCUCCUUCUUCCCAGGAUCUGACUUAGAGUCACGGGGGCUUUCUUGGCAUUCAAAACCCUCACAUGUAUCGGAGCGAAGUAAACGCAGUGAGAACCUCUUUCAGUGAAUUUCCAGGGAAUCUCAACUGUGGGAGCCCCGGAAAGUCCUUCUGCCCCUGAGGACACUGGAGCCACCUAACAGAUGAGGACACUUGGG